UACGUAGGUGGCAAGCGUUGUCCGGAUUUACUGGGCGUAAAGAGCGCGCAGGCGGUCGAUUUAGUCGCGUGUGAAAGCCCCCGGCUCAACUGGGGAGGGUCACGCGAUACUGAUCGACUCGAAGGCAGGAGAGGGUAGUGGAAUUCCCGGUGUAGUGGUGAAAUGCGUAGAUAUCCGGAGGAACCCCAGAGGCGAAGGCGGCGCUCUGGCUCGCAACUGACGCUCAGACACGACAGCAUGGGGAGCGAACGGG
rnacentral:rRNA from 1 species